rnacentral:rRNA from 1 species
CAGCAGCCGCGGGAAAACGAAGGGGGCUAGCGUUGUUCGGAAUUACUGGGCGUAAAGCGCACGUAGGCGGAUAUUUAAGUCAGGGGUGAAAUCCCAGAGCUCAACUCUGGAACUGCCUUUGAUACUGGGUAUCUUGAGUAUGGAAGAGGUGAGUGGAAUUCCGAGUGUAGAGGUGAAAUUCGUAGAUAUUCGGAGGAACACCAGUGGCGAAGGCGGCUCACUGGUCCAUUACUGACGCUGAGGUGCGAAAGCGUGGGGAGCAAACAGGAUUAGAUACCCCAGUAGUCCCUGUCUCUUAUAC